UCAGAACGAACGCUGGCGGCAGGCCUAAAACAUGCAAGUUGAACGGCUGUAGCAAUACAGCAGUAGCGCACGGGUGAGUAAUAUAUGGGAACAUGUCUUUUGGUGGGGAAUAUUCUCUGGAAACGGAGAGCAAUACCGCAUAAGCCCUACGGGGGAAAGAUUUAUCGCCGAUUGAGUGGCCCAUAUUGGAUUAGCUAGUUGGUUGGUAACGGCUGACCAAGGCGACGAUCCAUAGCUGAUCUGAGAGGAUGAUCAGCCACACUGGGACUGAGACACGGCCCAGACUCCUACGGGAGGCAGCAGUUAGGAAUAUUGGACAAUGGGGGCAACCCUGAUCCCAGCCAUGCCGCGUGAGUGUUAAGGCCUUCGGGUUGUAAAGCUCUUUUGUAUGGGAAAAUGAUGAUGGUACCAUAAGAAUAAGCACCGGCUAACUUCGUGCCAGCCGCCGC
rnacentral:rRNA from 1 species